CCCAAGCCGCACGAUCCCUCUCAUUUCUUCAAGCCGAUCUCUCUUAUUUCGUGAGCUUAAGAUUUCCACCGUAAGUCUUCAAGGAAAUUGACCUGCUUUGGGUCUUUCAGAUUUCUCUUCCUCUUCUCAUCUGCUGUGUUUUCGUGGCUCAAAAAGGGGAUCAAAGCAGGAGUGUAUUUCAAGAUUCAAGGAACCUAUUUAUAAAGCAUCGAGGUAUGAAUGAUGAGGCUGGGGAGCUAGGCACUGCUGAGGAGGGAACGACUGAUGCUUAGAAUUCCCUGUCGAUUCAAUUUUAAUGAUAAUGGUUAUGUCUUUAUGUUUUUAUGAUGAGUCCCAUGUUGGGAUGUUUUGUUGGUUUGACUUUAAUACAAUAUGUCCUUGGGUAUGAUGUAAGUACUUUGGUGGGGUGAUGGUAAUGGUGUAACUUCUAUAGUGGGGUGACGGUACCCCACAUAAGAAGGUUAAAUGCCUUUUUGUAUGUGUUAUGGGGACGGAGUCCCCUUUUUAUUGUGACUAGCGAUGUUUUAAAUGAAUGAAUGAUGGACUCUGAGAGUCCUUUGGGUAA